GACGAACGCUGGCGGCGUGCUUAACACAUGCAAGUCGAACGGAAAGGCCCUGCUUUUGUGGGGUGCUCGAGUGGCGAACGGGUGAGUGACACGUGAGUAACCUGCCCUUGACUUUGGGAUAACUUCAGGAAACUGGGGCUAAUACCGGAUAGGAGCUCCUGCUGCAUGGUGGGGGUUGGAAAGUUUCGGCGGUUGGGGAUGGACUCGCGGCUUAUCAGCUUGUUGGUGGGGUAGUGGCUUACCAAGGCUUUGACGGGUAGCCGGCCUGAGAGGGUGACCGGCCACAGUGGGACUGAGAUACGGCCCAGACUCCUACGGGAGGCAGCAGUGGGGAAUAUUGCACAAUGGGCGGAAGCCUGAUGCAGCAACGCCGCGUGCGGGAUGACGGCCUUCGGGUUGUAAACCGCUUUCGCCUGUGACGAAGCGUGAGUGACGGUAAUGGGUAAAGAAGCACCGGCUAACUACGUG
rnacentral:rRNA from 1 species